GGCUCGAGUGGCGAACGGGUGAGUAACACGUGAGUAACCUGCCCUUGACUUUGGGAUAACUUCAGGAAACUGGGGCUAAUACCGGAUAGGAGCUCCUGCUGCAUGGUGGGGGUUGGAAAGUUUCGGCGGUUGGGGAUGGACUCGCGGCUUAUCAGCUUGUUGGUGGGGUAGUGGCUUACCAAGGCUUUGACGGGUAGCCGGCCUGAGAGGGUGACCGGCCACAUUGGACUGAGAUACGGCCCAG
rnacentral:rRNA from 1 species